rnacentral:rRNA from 1 species
UACGUAGGGGGCAAGCGUUGUCCGGAUUCAUUGGGCGUAAAGAGCGUGUAGGCGGCCAGGUAGGUCGGUUGUGAAAACUGGAGGCUUAACCUUCAGAGGUCGACCGAAACCAUCUGGCUAGAGUCCGGGAGAGGAGAGUGGAAUUCCUGGUGUGAGCGGUGAAAUGCGCAGAUAUCGGGAGGAACACCAAUGGCGAAGGCAGCUCGCUGGGACGGUACUGACGCUGAGACGCGAAAGCGUGGGGAGCAAACAGGG